rnacentral:rRNA from 1 species
AUUGAACGCUGGCGGCAGGCCUAACACAUGCAAGUCGAGCGGAUGAAGGGAGCUUUCUCCUGUAUUCAGCGGCGGACGGGUGAGUAAUUCCUAGGAAUCUGCCUUGUAGUGGGGGAUAACGUCCGUAAACGGGCGCUAAUACCACAUACGUCCUGAUGUAGAAAGUGAUGGAUCUUCGGACCUCACGCGAUCAGAUGAGCCUAGGUCGGAUUAGCUAGUUGGUGGGGUAAAGGCCUACCAAGGCGACGAUCCGUAACUGGUCUGAGAGGAUGAUCAGUCACACUGGAACUGAGACACGGUCCAGACUCCUACGGGAGGCAGCAGUGGGGAAUAUUGGACAAUGGGCGAAAGCCUGAUCCAGCCAUGCCGCGUGUGUGAAGAAGGUCUUCGGAUUGUAAAGCACUUUAAGUUGGGAGGAAGGGCAGUAAGUUAAUACCUUGCUGUUUUGACGUUACCAAAAGAAUAAGCACCGGCUAACUUCGUG